rnacentral:rRNA from 1 species
GACGAACGCUGGCGACGUGCCUAAUACAUGCAAGUAGAACGCUGAAGAGAGGAGCUUGCUCUUCUUGGAUGAGUUGCGAACGGGUGAGUAACGCGUAGGUAACCUGCCUUGUAGCGGGGGAUAACUAUUGGAAACGAUAGCUAAUACCGCAUAACAAUGGAUGACACAUGUCAUUUAUUUGAAAGGGGCAAUUGCUCCACUACAAGAUGGACCUGCGUUGUAUUAGCUAGUAGGUGAGGUAACGGCUCACCUAGGCGACGAUACAUAGCCGACCUGAGAGGGUGAUCGGCCACACUGGGACUGAGACACGGCCCAGACUCCUACGGGAGGCAGCAGUAGGGAAUCUUCGGCAAUGGGGGCAACCCUGACCGAGCAACGCCGCGUGAGUGAAGAAGGUUUUCGGAUCGUAAAGCUCUGUUGUAAGUCAAGAACGAGUGUGAGAGUGGAAAGUUCACACUGUGACGGUAGCUUACCAGAAAGGGACGGCUAACUACGUGCCAGCAGCCGCGGUAAUACGUAGGUCCCGAGCGUUGUCCGGAUUUAUUGGGCGUAAAGCGAGCGCAGGCGGUUUGAUAAGUCUGAAGUUAAAGGCUGUGGCUCAACCAUAGUUCGCUUUGGAAACUGUCAAACUUGAGUGCAGAGGGGGAGAGUGGAAUUCCAUGUGUAGCGGUGAAAUGCGUAGAUAUAUGGAGGAACACCGGUGGCGAAAGCGGCUCUCUGGUCUGUAACUGACGCUGAGGCUCGAAAGCGUGGGGAGCGAACAGGAUUAGAUACCCUGGUAGUCCACGCCGUAAACGAUGAGUGCUAGGUGUUGGAUCCUUUCCGGGAUUCAGUGCCGCAGCUAACGCAUUAAGCACUCCGCCUGGGGAGUACGACCGCAAGGUUGAAACUCAAAGGAAUUGACGGGGGCCCGCACAAGCGGUGGAGCAUGUGGUUUAAUUCGAAGCAACGCGAAGAACCUUACCAGGUCUUGACAUCCCGAUGCUAUUUCUAGAGAUAGAAAGUUACUUCGGUACAUCGGUGACAGGUGGUGCAUGGUUGUCGUCAGCUCGUGUCGUGAGAUGUUGGGUUAAGCCCCGCAACGAGCGCAACCCCUAUUGUUAGUUGCCAUCAUUCAGUUGGGCACUCUAGCGAGACUGCCGGUAAUAAACCGGAGGAAGGUGGGGAUGACGUCAAAUCAUCAUGCCCCUUAUGACCUGGGCUACACACGUGCUACAAUGGUUGGUACAACGAGUUGCGAGUCGGUGACGGCAAGCUAAUCUCUUAAAGCCAAUCUCAGUUCGGAUUGUAGGCUGCAACUCGCCUACAUGAAGUCGGAAUCGCUAGUAAUCGCGGAUCAGCACGCCGCAGUGAAUACGUUCCCGGGCCU